UACGUAGGGGGCAAGCAUUGUCCGGAUUUACUGGGCGUAAAGAGCGCGCAGGCGGCUGGUCAAGUCCGAUGUGAAAGCUCCCGGCUUAACUGGGAAAUUGCAUCGGAAACUGAUCGGCUGGAAGGUGGGAGAGGGUAGCGGAAUUCCCGGUGUAGUGGUGAAAUGCGUAGAUAUCGGGAGGAACACCAGUGGCGAAAGCGGCUACCUGGCCCAUUCUUGACGCUGAGGCGCGAAAGCUAGGGGAGCAAACGGG
rnacentral:rRNA from 1 species